rnacentral:lncRNA from 1 species
UCGAAAAUGUAAAGCAAUUGGCGUGAGAGAGAGAGAAAGAGCUGUUCAGGGUUCAGAUUAUGAUUUGAGAUUUCGGAAAAAGAUGGAAAAGCAUUUUAUAGGGAACUGCCCGCUCUUUCUUUGUUUGUUUUUCUCAGCCAUUAACUUAGUUUUGUGUACGGCUAGUUAGAUCAUCUGUGGAUUCUUAGUGAGAGGCUCGCUCUCACUACUCUUUACAUGUGCUAUGACCAUUUCUGAAUACAC